rnacentral:piRNA from 1 species
UGGUGCUCAAUUGAAUGUUGG